GACGAACGCUGGCGGCGUGCCUAAUACAUGCAAGUAGAACGCUGAAGAGAGGAGCUUGCUCUUCUUGGAUGAGUUGCGAACGGGUGAGUAACGCGUAGGUAACCUGCCUUGUAGCGGGGGAUAACUAUUGGAAACGAUAGCUAAUACCGCAUAACAAUGGAUGACACAUGUCAUUUAUUUGAAAGGGGCAAUUGCUCCACUACAAGAUGGACCUGCGUUGUAUUAGCUAGUAGGUGAGGUAAUGGCUCACCUAGGCGACGAUACAUAGCCGACCUGAGAGGGUGAUCGGCCACACUGGGACUGAGACACGGCCCAGACGCCUACGGGAGGCAGCAGUAGGGAAUCCUCGGCAAUGGGGGCAACCCUGACCGAGCAACGCCGCGUGAGUGAAGAAGGUUUUCGGAUCGUAAAGCUCGGUUGUAAGUCAAGAACGGGUGUGAGAGUGGAAAGUUCACACUGUGACGGUAGCUUACCAGAAAGGGACGGCUAACUACGUG
rnacentral:rRNA from 1 species